UACGUAGGGUGCGAGCGUUAAUCGGAAUUACUGGGCGUAAAGUGUGCGCAGGCGGUUGAGCAAGUCGAGUGUGAAAGCCCCGGGCUUAACUUGGGAAUUGCGCUCGAAACUACUUGACUGGAGUGUGGCAGAGGAAGGUGGAAUUCCACGUGUAGCGGUGAAAUGCGUAGAGAUGUGGAGGAACACCAGUGGCGAAGGCGGCGUCCUGGACCAACACUGACACUGAGGAGCGAAAGCCAGGGGAGCAAACGGG
rnacentral:rRNA from 1 species